AUACGUAGGGGGCGAGCGUUGUCCGGAAUUACUGGGUGUAAAGGGCGUGUAGGCGGGUAAUUAAGUCAGCGGUAAAAACCCGGGGCUCAACUCCGGGCUUGCCGUUGAAACUGGAUACCUUGAGUGCAGGAGAGGGAAGUGGAAUUCCCGGAGUAGCGGUGAAAUGCGUAGAUACCGGGAGGAACACCAGUGGCGAAGGCGGCUUCCUGGCCUGUAACUGACGCUGAGGCGCGAAAGCUGGGGGAGCAAACGGGAUUAGAUACCCCGGUAGUCCCAGCCGUAAACGAUGGUCACUAGGUGUGGGGUGUGGUCAAGCACUCCGUGCCGGAGCAAACGCAAUAAGUGACCCACCUGGGGAGUACGGCCGCAAGGUUGAA
rnacentral:rRNA from 1 species